AGGCAUUAUGGUGAGUUUAAUUUCCUUGUGUUUAAAAACAUGACUUAUUCAUUUCUUUGUAGUUGCAUGUAUUUGCUUUAUGUCAAGUACUUUGUAAAUGCAGAGCGUCAUGAAAUGGACUUUGCCACUUCUGUUUUGUUGCCUUUUAAAAAAAAAUGAUUCAAGUAAUUAUUUUGAAAUCUUAAUCUGGAAUACUCAGUAUUUUGGCAGAUCCAUAUUUAUAUAAUCAUUGUGAACGGAUAGAUGUAUCUUCAAUGAAGAAUGUCUCAUAUUGGGUGUACACAUAGUGGAGACUCUGGUGCAACAUUAUUGAGACACACAUUCUUCUAACUAUUCUAAACUCGCUAUAGCAAAUAAACAGAAUUCUUGGAAAUUUGCACAUCAUUUUUCCUUUAUUAGCAAACUACAUAACUGUCCUAGGAAUGUUUUCAGGGAAUAUUUCUUAGACUGAACAAAUUUUAGGACAUAGGACUUUGGAAUUUCAACACCUCAGAUAACGUUUAUUCAAUGCUAAAAGUUUUAGAAUAUCACAUGUUAUUCAUGUAAGUUUUAAUAAGCCCACCGCUAGAAUCAUAUCGAGAGUGCAACAUAAGCUGAUGCUCCUAAGAGAGCCCUCGAGGCAUAAAACUCCCUGUUGUCAGUAGACAAUCCAUAUAUUCGUAGCAAAUUCCAUAAAUAGUUGACAUGAGUUAUGGUUAAUCUCGUGAAGUGCUAAUUUCUCAGUAGGUGGAUUUUUCAUUUAUAUGAAUCUAUGUUUUAAUAUAAUAAUCAAAUAGUAACAGGUUGGUUUUGAAUAUGAGUAAUCAUUGGAUGAGUGUGAUAUCUAUAAAUUUGUUUUGCACUGAAAUCAGGAUCUGAUGAAAGGCGAAAUUCGACAUUCUCUAUCGGCAUGGCUGCUUGAUUUCUUUAAAUUUUGGGUUUAAGGGCUUUUCGACUUUGAUAUAAUCUGAUGCAACGUAUCCUUCAAUUCUGAAACUGAAUAGUCAUCGAAUCAGCUAUGCCGCCCAAUUUAGUUUAUCAGAAACACGUGUUUUAUCCUUUUUAGUGUAAGGAUCUUAUGUGUAACUUGAGCUUAACCCUGAGCCUUAACAUAUUGUUUCCGCUCUCUAUGCUCUGAUGCUCAGGUUAGGGUUUAAGGCUCAAACUUCCUCUUGCUACCAAAUCAUCUGAUGAAGGAUGAGAAAGUUGUACUUGAUUUAAAUGGGACAAAUUCGCUCUCUACCAAAUCAUAUUGCAAAGAAGUCGGUUGUAAUCUUUGCUGGGGAUUCAAUCGAGAGAUUAAAUCUUGAAGGAGAAGAGCUUACGGCAGGAACCCCUUAAGCUUACCGUCCUCAAAUUGGAUGUCUCUUCUUUCGAUAUUGAAGUGUGUAGAAAUGGGAGCUUGGAAACUCACAAAAGGGUGGUGUAGCUCUUCAGAAUUCCCUGAAGGACCGGAGUGGAACCGGGUUCCUAAUUCUGCACAUCAAAGGAAAACGUAAGCUGUCAAUCAUGUAUUUUCCACUUUAUCUGGAUAUGUAGUUAAGACCAACUAUAUAUCUUGUACCCAAAUUGUAAUUCUGUUUUUACUUUUGAUUAAUGCUUCUCAGAGUUUAAUGUACAGUUUCAGUGCUUUUUCUUAUCUCAAUUUGUCCCUUAGAUAAUGACUAAUGUUAAUGAGAUAUAACUUAUAAGUACGAUAUUAAGCUUAAAUUAAGGGUCUUGAUUAUAAAAGCUCCUUUAAAGAUCUGAAACUAUAUAGAAGAAUCCUACAACUAAGCUCAAAGUCUGAGUGAUUCUAACUUCUCAACUAAUGACGACUCCUGAAAAAAUGUGUUGAUCUUUUUGAUAAAGUUAGACUAACAAAGUUCUAACAUACUAUGUGGUUUUAACAGUUACCAGUUUCAAAAAAACAUACUAUGUGCUUUUAUGGGGCAAUUUAGAGAAAAAUUCCAAGGAAUGUUGUGAUUGUACCUCACUCUAUUGGUGGAUACAAAGUUCCAUUUUCCAAAAAAAAAACAAAAGAAUUUUUGUUCUGGGUUUGACAAAAGAUUUUUCAGAUUCCGUACUGCAAAUCAAAGCCAAAUAGAAAUAUAGAAUAGAUCUUUGGUUCUAGAAAAGGGUCGGACCAAAGGAAAAAUUCAACAUCUUAUUUCCUCGCUAUGUCGUAUUUCUGCUAAACCAUCACUUUUUUCAGUAUUUUCAAAUCAAGAGACCAUAGCUUAAGAAUAAAAAAAUGAUAUAAGUAGAAUCUCAAUUUUGAUUCAACUUUGUCUCUUAGAGUUCCUGUGUCUCUGACUAACAUGCAAGUAUUGCUGCUUUGAGACGGACGGAUUGUAGUUGGCAAAGUGAGUUACUUUACCUUUUCUAAGAACCAGCACAAGGUAAUUUGUUCUAAUUUUUAGGAGUUAACAUAAAACAAGAAACAAUUGGACUUAUAAAUUUGAUUUUUUGGUUGUUUCUCUGUUAUCCCUACUAUUCAAUGAUUCUCCUAUGAAGCUUAUCUCUUUUUCCUAAAAGACACAUAUUAUAUGAGGAGGGGAAGUUUGAUAUUGUACAAAGGAAAUUAACGAUAAAGGCAUCAUAUUUGAAAUGGGGAGACCACUGGCAGAAAACCAAGGUUUGGUCUUUUAAUGUUCUUUAUCCUCCCCUCUGCUGUUGACAUAUGAAUCCCUUCUUAUCAACACCCACGGAACGUGUGGAUAAGCCUUUUUGGAUGUUCUGAUACAUAGGUUUGCCCUAUAAAAAACCCCGGGUUGUAUCUUACAUACUUGCAAUUGUGCAAGAUUGGCGGAUAAAAGAGAUGCUUGUUUAUGUUUAUAUUUUAUGCAGGAAUAUUAUGAGGUUAUUUCUGUUGUGCAUCAUGGUUAUCUGGUUGAUCUUUACGGCCUUGCUAACCAUAUAGGUAAAGUUCUAAGCUUGCAGGUGGCAUGACACCUUUUUAGAAAUACGUCCAUGCAUAUUGCUGGUGAACUCAUACUGUGAGAUGAUUUACCACAUAGUAAACUUGGCGCCAA